rnacentral:lncRNA from 12 species
UAUUUAAGGAAGACAUCAUUGAUAAUUAGGAAGUAACUAGUUAACCUAAUUACUAAAAUAGGUGUUGCAAGAACCAGCUUGCAAGAACUGAGAAGUGAAUCCAGGAGAAGGAAGUGGAGGUGAUGAGAAAAGCUACUCUUUCAAGAUGGUGGUACACAUGGAACCAUUAAUUUGGAAGUGGAGGUAAUUUG